UACGUAGGCAGCGAGCGUUGUUCGGGAGUUACUGGGCGUAAGGGGUGUGUAGGCGGUUCUUUUAAGUUUGGUGUGAAAUCUCCCGGCUCAACCGGGAGGGUGCGCCGAAUACUGAGGGGACUUCGAGUGCGGGAGAGGAAAGUGGAAUUCCUGGUGUAGCGGUGAAAUGCGUAGAUAUCAGGAGGAACACCGGUGGUGUAGACGGCUUUCUGGACCGUAACUGACGCUGAGACACGAAAGCGUGGGUAGCAAACAGG
rnacentral:rRNA from 1 species